rnacentral:rRNA from 1 species
UACGGAGGGUGCAAGCGUUAUCCGGAUUUACUGGGUUUAAAGGGUGCGUAGGUGGGUUGGUAAGUCAGUGGAUGAAUCUCGUAGCUUAACUCGGAAACUGCCAUUGAUACUAUCAAUCUUGAAGUACUUUGGAGGUAAGCGGAAUAUGUCAUGUAGCGGUGAAAUGCUUAGAUAUGACAUAGAACACCAAUUGCGGAGGCAGCUGGCUACACAAAUAUUGACACUGAUGCACGAAAGCGUGGGGAUCAAACAGG